GGCUUUGUGUGAGCAACAUGGUUGUUUAUUUCACCUGGGUGCAGGUGGGCUGAGUCCGAAAAGAGAGUCAGCAAAGGGAGAUAGGGAUGGGGCCAUUUUAUAGGAUUUGGGAAGGUAAUGGAAAAUUACAGUCAAAGGGGGUUGUUCUCUGGUGGGCAGGGGCGGGGGUCACAAGGUGCUCAGUGGGGGAGCUUCUGAGCCAGGAGAAGGAAAUUCACAGGGUUAAUCACUCAGUUAAGGUGGGGCAGGAACAAAUCACAAUGGUGGAAUGUCAUCAGUUAAGGCGGGGCAGGGCCUUUUCACUUCUUUUGUGAUUCUUCAGUAACUUCAGGCCAUCUGGGCGUAUACGUGCAAGUCACAGGGGAUGCGAUGGCUUGGCUUGGGCUCAGAGGACUGACAUUCCUGCCUUCUUAUAUUAAUAAGAAAAAUAAAACAAAAUAGUGUUGAAGUGUUGGGGUGGCGAAAAUUUUUGGGGGGUGGUAUGGAGAGAGAAUGGGCGAUGUUUCUCAGGGCUGCUUCAAGCGGGAUUAGGGGCGGGUGGGAACCUAGAGUGGGAGAGAUUAAGCUGAAAGGAGAUCUUGUGGUAAGGGGUGAUAUUGUGGGGUUGUUAGAAGAAACAUUUGUCAUAUAGUAUGAUUGGUGAUGGCCUGGAUACAGUUUUGUGUGAAUUGAAAAACUAAAUGGAAUAAGAAGGAGAAAAACAGGUAUAAAAGGUCUAAGAAUUGGGAGGACCUAGGACAUCUGAUUAGAGAGUGCCUAAGGAGAUUCAGCAUAGUCCUGCCAGCAAAGAUUAUUUAUUUACUUCAAGAGUUAAGAGUGGCAGUUUGGGGAUAGCACGAGGAGAUAUCAGCUGUGAUGGCUUGGAGAAACAGUGUAAACUGGCAGUGUGAACAAGAGCAGGGCAUGUGUGAGUAGUUGAGAAUGGAGAAUAGGAAUAUGACUAGACAGAAAAUAGUAGGGAUGACAAGUUUUCUUGGGGGCACAGUCUAAGUUGGUCCAGUGUCUGGAAUGAGACUGGGGCCUAAUAAAAAGGAGCAUCUAUACAGGAGCUUAAAUGGGCUGUACCUUGUAGCAUUCUGAGGACAGGCCUGAAUUCUGAGAAGUGAAAGUGGUAAAAGUAUUGUCCAGUCCUUUUUAAGUUGGUGGCUGAGCUUGGUGAGGUGUGUUUUUAAAAGACCUUUAGUCCGUUCUACUUUUCUUGAAGACGGAGGACCGUAAGGGAUAUAAAGGUUUCACUGAAUACUAAGAGCCUGAAAAACUAAUUGGCUGAUUUGACUAAUAAAGGCUGGUCUGCUAUCAGACUGUAUAGAGGUGGGAAGGCUAAACUGAGGAAUUAUGUCUGACAGAAGGGAAGAAAUGACUGUGGUGGCCUUCUCAGACCCUGUAGGAAAGGCCUUUACUUAUUCAGUGAAAGUGUCUAUUUAGACUAAGAGGUAUUUUAGUUUCCUGACUCGGGCAUGUUGAGUAAAGCUAAUUUGCCAGUCCUGGGUGGGGGCAAAUUCUCGAGCUUGAUGUGUAGGGAAGGGAGGGGGCCUGAAUAAUCCCUGAGGAGUAGUAGAAUAGCAGAUGGAACACUGAGAAGUUAUUUUCUUGAGGAUAGAUUUCCACGAUGGAAAGGAAAUGAGAGGUUCUGAGAGGCAGGCUAGUGGCUUGUACUAUAGCAUAGCCUGCAUUUGCUGGUAUGUGGCGAUUAGGCCUGGUGGAACUGCCAUCAAUAAAUCAAGCGUGAUCAGGGUGAGGAAUAGGAAAGAAGGAAAUACAGGGAAAUGGGGUGAAUAGCAGGUGGAUCAGAGAGAUACAGUCAUGGGGGUCAGGUGUGGUAUCAGGAAUAAUGUGGGAGGCCAGAUUGAAGUCCGGGCCAGGAACAGUGGUAAUUGUGGGACUUAACAAAGAGUGAGUACAGCUGAAGGAGCCGGGGAGCAGAAAGUGUAUGCGUCAGGUAUGAGGAAGAAAAUAGAUUUUGGAAGUUGAGAAAUGUAGAGAGUGAGUUGAGCAUAGUUUGUGAUUUUCAGGGCCUCUAAAAGUAUUAAAGCAGCGGCAGCCGCUGCACACAGACAUGAGGGCUAGGCUAAAACAGUAAGGUCAAGUUGUUUGGACAGAAAGGCUACAGGGUGCGGUCCUGGCUCUUGUGUAAGAAUUCUGACCACACUAACCAUGCCUAGGAAGGAAAGGAGUUGUUGUUUUGUAAGGGAUUGAGGUUUGGGAGAUUAAUCAGACAUGAUCAGCAGGGAAAGCACGUGUGUUUUUGUGAGAAUUAUACCGAGAUAGGUAACAGAUGAGGAUGAAAUUUGGGCUUGACUGAGGUAAUGGGGGCUGUCUGUGAAGCCUUGCGGCAGGACAGCCCAGGUAAUUUGCUGAGCCUGAUGGGUGUCAGGGUCAGUCUAAGUGAAAGCAAAGAGAGGCGGGGACGAGGGGUGCAGGGGAACAGUGAAAAAAGCAUCUUUACGAUCAAGCACGGAAUAGUGAGUUGUGGAGGAAGGUAUUGAGGACAAAAGAGUGUUCGGGUUGGGCACCACAAGGGGGAUAGGCAAAACAAUUUGGUUGAUAAGGCACAGAUCCUGAACUAACUUGUAAGUCUUGUCUGGUUUUAGGACAGGUAAAAUGGGGGAAUUGUAAGGAGAGUUUAUAGGCUUUAAAAGGCCAUGCUGUAGCAGGCGAGUGAUAACAGGCUUUAAUCCUUUUAAAGCGUGCUGUGGGAUGGGAUAUUGGCGUUGAGUGGGGUAAGGGUGAUUAGGUUUUAAUGAGAUGGUAAGGGGUGCAUGAUCAGUCGCCAAGGAGGGAGUAGAGGUGUCUUAUACUUGUGGGUUAAGGUGGGGGGAUACAAGAGGAGGACGCAAAGGAGGCUUUGGAUUGGGAAGAAGGGCGGCAAUGAGAUAUAGCUGUAGUCCAGGAAUAGUCAGGGAAGCAGAUAAUUUACUUAAAGUGCCUCAGCCUAAUAAGGGAACUGGGCAGGUGGGGAUAACUAAAAAGGAGUGCUUAAAAGAGUAGUGUCUAAGUUGGCGCCAGAGUUGGGGAGUUUUAAGAGGUUUAGAAGCCUGGCUGUCAAUACCCACAACAGUUAUGGAGGCAAGGGAAACAGGCCCUUGAAAAGAAGGUAAUGUGGAGUGGGUAGCCUCCGUAUUGAUUAAGAAGGGGAUGGACUUACCCUCCACCGUGAGAGUUACCUAAAGCUCGGCGUCCGUGAUGGUCUACGGGGCUUCUGAGGUGAUCAGGCAGCGUCAGUCUUCAGCCGGUAAGCCAAGAAGGAGUCAGUCAGAGAGCCUUGGGCCCAGAGUUCCUUGGGCUCUGGGAGUGGCUGCCAGAGAUUAUUCCAGGAAAAGAAGUGGCCCUCAGUGUCAAAG
rnacentral:lncRNA from 1 species